CAAGUCUUUCUUUAAUAAAGAUUAAUAAAAAAUUUCUUUAGGCCUAGUCUUUCAAACACAAAUAUUCUCCAUGCAUGUAAUGGCCCAUUAUUCAAAGACAGCCUCAAAUUAUUUUUUUUCCAACUGGCAAACUGUAUCAAAAGCCCAACUCUCAAAAGCCAAUGUAUUACAUCUUCCCCAAACUUGCUAAGUUUAUGUUUUUUAAUCCCAAAAAAGUGGUAUUGUUUUGUUGACUGCCUUUAAAAAAACUUACCAAUCUUGCAAUUGUUAUUAACGUGGUUGUUAAUGUCAUGUAUGUGUAUGUCUUGAUUCUGUCUUUGUUGCCAUGCUGGUUGUUUCUUUGACAGAGUUGGCUGUUGGCUGCUGCCUGCGCAGAUAAUGAAAGCCUAACAACUUGGAACCUGUCUAGAAAUUCACUGCAGGCUGUCCGUGUGACUGUAAAUGUUUUGCUAUCUAGAAACUAAAAACUUCACUCCAACUACGGUUGUUCAUCCAUGUGAAUGUAACUAUCAUCAAUGGGUUAGUGUUAUAAGUUAAUCCCAUAUCUACUAACUUUGAACCUUAGUUUGUUUCAUCAAGCGAAACUUGCCCCGUGCACUGAGAUCUCUCUGUUGUGUUUUUACCUGAUCCAUUCCUCGGACAUUUGCAGGUAAAAUAAUUUGUUAUAAGUUUUAAAUUGUUCCAAAGCUGAUUUUGUGUCAUUCAUUAAAUUUAACCAAAGUUUAAUGAAUUGUUCUCCCCUGGAAUCCUUUUUAAAUUGAUUUUGUUUUUAAGUGAGUCAGAACACUCAAGUGGAACACUUUCUUUUCUAGGCUGUAGAGAUUGCACGGAAACUGUCUAAUGAGGACAGUAGUGGUGAACACGACGUCUAGAGUCCCCAUCAAGACAACUGCCUCAAACCAUCAUGAGAACACUGGUUGGAUGUUCGUACUGCCCUCAAAGUAAUUUGUUGCCAUGCUGGCUGUCCUUAGACAGGGUUGGCUGCUGCUAGAAAGCGUAGAUGGUGAAAGCAUGCCAACAGAAGGACAUCGGUGAAGGUUCUACAAGAUAGAUUGCUGUGACAUCAUUGAGAUUAUUCACUGAUUGAAGAGCCAACUCAGUGUCCCAAGCAAUACCCCAGUCGCCCCUCGGACUUAUAGUCUUCUAUACCUGAGGUCAAUCUGAUAGGGAACCUAGUCUCUUCAUCACCAGUCUCCCCCCCCCCCCAGACUUAGGGUCUUCUUUACCCGAAGUAAAUUCGUUUAUCACCAUAGUCUUCUCACCACGCCCUUCCUGCUCCAACACCAUCUUUAGCUACCACUUUCUCGAAUGACCAAGAGUUUGAGUCGAGCAGUCACCAGACAGACAGGCAGACAGACAGACAGACAGAGGUUGCUGUUUGAAACAUUGAGCCCACCAGUUCUUCUCAGAACCCAAAUUCACUCAACAGAGAUCUACCUAAAUCAUUUUGUUGCCAAACUGCAGAAGAUCAAGGAGGCUCGUGAAGAGAUGGCAGAGAUUGAACGGAAACUGUCUAAUGAGGACACCAGUGAUGAAUGCGAUGUCUAGAGUCCUCGUUAAUACGCCUUGACAUCAUCACGACAACACUGGCUGUACGCUCUGUACUGCCCUCAAAGAAAUCGUUGCCAUGCUGGCUGUCCCUAGAUAGGGUUGGCUGAUGCUAGCACAGAUGAUGUAAGCAUGCCAACUAAAGAACAUCUACAAGACAGAUUGCCAGGACAUCUUUGAGGUAUAUGCACAUUUUAUGAACCUUGUGAUUUCAUGAAACUUUGAUUGAACUUGUAUUAUUCCUCAUACACAACUGUGCCAUCUCUGAUAAGCAGAGAACCCAAUGGUGUGCGAUAUCUUGAAAUAAUCAACGUUUUGUCCAGCCUUUCAAAAACUUACCAACCAAAUGCUUUUGGUACUCUGACAUUUGUAUUUCCUUUGAUAUUGUGGUGCCUUUGAUAUUUCAUUAAAAACUCAUAUGUUCAGUUUUGUGGCAUAUUUUGAAACCAUAACUAGCUCAUGUUGAAUUGCUCGAGUCAUUUUCAAAGCAACCUUGUACAAUCUCUCGAUACCAUUUCAUGUUGACAUUUUAAGGCUGUAAUUAUUGUUUAAUGACAGCGAUACAGUGUCUUGCUGAAUCACUUUUGAUGAAAUGAUUUCUGUUGUGUGUCUUUUAGUUAUCUUCAGAUUAUUAACCAAAUGAAGAGCCAACUCAUUGUUCCAAGCAAUACACCAGUCCCCCCUCGGGGUCUUCUAUACCCAAAGUCAAUUUGAUUAUGCUAUUGUUACUACUCAUCAUACACAUUAGUGUGUUCUUUCUCGAAGUCAAACCAACUUUACAUAGUACUGUGGCAAUAAUUUCUGAGGCCUCGCCCUGACAAAUUUAAGAACCAAAGCUGAUUCUUUAUAAAAAUUUUACAGUUGUAUAGGCUACAGCAAAAAUUAACCUGUGAAAAUUAGCGUUUGGCUUGACUUUGUUUGGAUUGGUCACCCAGUUGAUUAUGACAUUGUCAUGUAUGUUUUGAUUUCGUCUAGGCUGCCAUGCUGGCUGUCCUUAGACAGAGUUAGCUGAUGCUAGCACAGAUGAUGAAAGCAUGCCUUCAAAAGAACAUCGGUGAAGGUUCUACAAGAUAGAUUGCUGUGCCAUCAUUGAGAUCGAUGAGGGUCUUGAAGAGGGUCAGAACACUCCAAGCGGACCACCUUGCUUUCAAGAUGGUAGAGAUUGAACUGAAACGGUCAAAUGAGAACAGCUGCCUCAAACCAUCAGGAGAAGACUGGUUGGAUGCUUCAGACUACCCGAAAAGGAAUUCAUUAAGUUGCCAUGCUAAACAGGGUUGGCUGCUGCUAGCACAGACGAUGAAAGCAUGCCAACAAAAGAACACAUCGGUGAAGGUUCUACAAGAUAGAUUGUCCUGACAUUGUGAGGUUGCCACGCACGACGUCCUUAAACAGGGUUGCCUGCUGCUAGCAGUGAUGAUGGUGAAGGGUCUACAACAUUGAUUACCGUGACUCCAUUGAAGAGUAUUCACUGAUUGAAGAGCCAACUCAGUGUCCCAAGCAAUACACCAGUCCCCCCCCCCCCAGACUUAGGGUCUUGUAUACCCGAAGUCAAGUUAUUUAGCACCAUAGACGUCUCACCACGCCCUUCCUGCUCCAACAACACUCUCUCGUAUGAGCAAGAGUUUGAGUCGAGCAGUCUACAGAUGGAGUGUACUGUCUGAAACAUUGAGCCCACCUGUUCUUCUUGGAACCCAAAUUCACUCAUCGGAGAUCUACCUAAAUCAUUAUGUUGCCAAGCUUCAAAGGGUAGGCAUUUUUUGAGCCAUUGCAAAUUUCUGCUGUUAUAUUAACUCAAUGUUGUGUUCUUUAUUGAAGCCAAGCCAACUUUACAUUGUAGUGUGCCAAUAAUUUCUGAGGCAAUCAUUCUCCAUCUAUCGUAUCAAUUCCAAGGUUAUGUUCUACUUGUCAAAUCAUUUCCAAAGUAAUUUUGUGCAAUUUCUCAAAACCAUUCCAAGUCAGGGUAUUAUUGCUAAUUGCAUCAAAUUGCAAUUUGUCCUAAGACAUUUUAACAUUAUUGCUCUACCUUUGGAUGGGUCCUGUGUGUUAUGUAAUGCUCUGGCAUGUUGGGCAAAUGAUGUUUAAUAUUUGAGUCUUGUAUUACAAAAACUUAUAAAUAACUGUCUUAAACAUUUCUGCUUUCACUAAAUAAAUAGAUGACGCUUUAUAAAUGCUUGAUGUUGUUAUUUUUCAACUACUUCAGAUCGAUGAGGGUCUUGAAGAGGGUCAGAACACUCCAAGCGGACCACCUUGCUUUCAAGAUGGUAGAGAUUGAACUGAAACGGUCAAAUGAGAACAGCUGCCUCAAACCAUCAGGAGAAGACUGGUUGGAUGCUUCAGACUACCCGAAAAGGAAUUCAUUAAGUUGCCAUGCUAAACAGGGUUGGCUGCUGCUAGCACAGACGAUGAAAGCAUGCCAACAAAAGAACACAUCGGUGAAGGUUCUACAAGAUAGAUUGUCCUGACAUUGUGAGGUUGCCACGCACGACGUCCUUAAACAGGGUUGCCUGCUGCUAGCAGUGAUGAUGGUGAAGGGUCUACAACAUUGAUUACCGUGACUCCAUUGAAGAUCGAGGAGGCUCUUGGAAGAGGAUCACCUUGCUUUCAAGAUGGUAGAGAUUGAAUAGAAACAGUCUAACAAGAGCAGCAGUGAUGAAGAUGACGUCUAGAGUCCCCGUCUAGACAACCAUCUCAAACCAUCAAUAGAACUAGCACCCAGAUUAAAUUCAUCUAGCUAAAAAGGCUGAUCACCUUCCAUUGCCAUGCAUUUUUAAGUCUCAAAUAAUUGAUGGCACAAGUUUGAUAAAACUGGUGAAAAGCUCUCGAAUUUGUCAAUUUUAGGCAAAUAUUAAACUGCUAGACCUAGUACCCUUUUUUAAAUUUAUUUAUAAUAGUGGCUGCAUGGUGCUGGUAGUCUUAAUAAACAAUACUUCUGAUUAAAUCUGGGUUAGGGGGGUGUCUGUUGCAUUCCCCCUCCCAAUCAAAACCUCUUUAGGUCAGUAUUCCACCCAAAUUAUCUUGCACAUUUGAGGGAUUGCCUUUGAAAUUAUAAUUGACCAAUAAAACCUCGACUUGACAAAAGGAAAGUUAGCAAAACAGUCUAACACUUGGAUUUCUUGUUGUCUUGUGAGAAAAUAUGCAUAAGGCACCGACCAUGAAUCGCAGAACCUCGGCUGUUAGCCACAGCAGAUAAAUAAUCUGCCAGGGUAUAGCGUAGAAAUCCCAGAAUGCUUUAGUUUCCAAUAGCCAACUAUCCAAAUACAAUGAGAAACUAUAGUGCAGCCUGUCUUGUCUGCCACGUUUGUAUAACAAACAGACAAAAAAAGUCCUGGAACUGGGGAUAUGGCAAAAGGGGGAUAAGGGGUGCAUUAUUUCUGCUACUUUCUGUCCCUCUUUUUAAUGGGUGAAAAGUGUAUCACUACAGGGGCAUACCCGUGCAAGAUACACAAAGAAAUAUCUAGGUAUCUUCGCUCCACACAUGGAUAAAUGAUUACCUGUGAGGGCAGAGUUGUUUCUUGUGAUUGAUUAGCUUACAUAUUUGGGGGCACAGACUGUAUAC